rnacentral:rRNA from 1 species
UACGUAGGGUGCAAGCGUUAUCCGGAAUUAUUGGGCGUAAAGAGCUCGUAGGCGGUUUGUCGCGUCUGCUGUGAAAACUGGGGGCUCAACCCCCAGCCUGCAGUGGGUACGGGCAGACUAGAGUGCGGUAGGGGAGAUUGGAAUUCCUGGUGUAGCGGUGAAAUGCGCAGAUAUCAGGAGGAACACCGGUGGCGAAGGCGGGUCUCUGGGCAGUAACUGACGCUGAGGAACGAAAGCGUGGGUAGCAAACAGG